CUUCCCCUCCACCUACUCAUUCUGGCUUCCUCCCCCUUCCUUUAAGUCCUGCCGAAGGGUCUCAGUGAGAAACAUUGUCAGUUGAUUCAUCUCCAUAGCACCUGUUAUCUGAGAUAAGCACUGGUGACUAUGGCUGGGUGCAGCACCUAGAGUUGACCCUGCUUUACACUAAGAACUUAAAGUACUGCAGGUCUAUCUACCCCAACAGUGAGUUGUUCAUUGGUGAAGAAACUGAAGAAACUGGACUUGAUACAGAUCGUGCUGCUGCCUGCAUCAGAGAGGUGUCAGAUGAGCUGGUGCACAAAGGAGCUGUGCAUGUGCAGACUAACAGCGAAUGAUUGUCUUAGCCACUUUUCUUGACUCUUUUGGAGAAUGUUAACGUGGAAUG